UACGAAGGGGGCUAGCGUUGCUCGGAAUCACUGGGCGUAAAGCGCACGUAGGCGGCUUUCUAAGUCAGGGGUGAAAUCCUGGAGCUCAACUCCAGAACUGCCUUUGAUACUGGAGAGCUUGAGUCCGGGAGAGGUGAGUGGAACUCCGAGUGUAGAGGUGAAAUUCGUAGAUAUUCGGAAGAACACCAGUGGCGAAGGCGACACACUGGCCCGAUACUGACGCUGAGGCGCGAAAGCGUGGGGAGCAAACAGG
rnacentral:rRNA from 1 species